GACUUGCAAGGAUCCUGCAAAAGUUUCCUUGAAAAGAAUUUUGGCGAGUAAUAUAGGAUGGUAAAAUAGAUAUAGCUUAGUCAUCUAUUUCCUAAGUCCUCACCUAGCAUUUGCUUAUGAUAGAUUUCUUCCUUUAAGAAUUUAUGUUUUUAGCGCACACUUCCACAAAUCUUCCUAACAGACAAAAUUAAAUCAAACUUAGAUAUCAACUUCUAUUAGAAGAGUCAGAUGCACACAACCUUAUCUUAAAAUAUAUUUCUAUAUUUCAAAUCUGUAACAUUUACAUCAUAAUAGAGUAAUCCUAUUUGUGCUGAGGCUCACCCUAUAUCAAUUUAACGACUUUGAUGGUGUCAAUUUAAGUAACCUCAUCAUCAAACUUUGGUGGGAUAAUGAAGAUGAACGUUUUUUUAAUGUUUUCUUCUCAUUCAGCAAGACCUGACUGAAUAAACAAACAC
rnacentral:lncRNA from 1 species